GAGUUGGUAACACCGGGAGUCCAUGGUCAAGAACAUAAGCUAUCUUUUCGCAACUCAAGACAAUCUUUAAGUUGCGGAGCCAAUCUUUAUAGUUUGGUUCGGUCAACCUAUUGUUAUCUAGAAUUCAAACUAUCGGAUUAGAAGCCAUUGAUAUCUGUAGAGAGUAAAGAUUUUAAUUAGAAAUUUGUAUUUGACAUUAAUUUGUUUUAGAGACUUUUAAAACAAAAUUGGAUCAAAUCCUCCCAUUAUUUCUUGGAUCUCUGACACUCCCCUGGUAAAGAUACGGAAACCUGCGACUUAGGGUUUCGAGUGGGGUGCUGCGGUCCCACCAAUCUACAUGUCACCUUACCUAACAGUUAUUGGAGACACAUAGACGAUGAGUGUACAACUACUGUACAAUACUUCGUAAGCAUAUUGAGCUAACCUGGUCUCCAAGUCAUAAGGACCUCACCUAACAGUUAUUGGACCUGUUCCUUGGUUAAGUCAGACCCACCGUAUAUCCCGCGAAAAUAAAGCUGUGAUUGGGUCCUCACCUAACAGUUAUUGGAGCCCAACCCCAUCUUUAUCCCACAACAUCUCAUGUUAAUAGAGAGGUCCAAUCCUUCGAUGCAACUAGCCCUCUGUAUCCAGCCGAGCCUAAUCAACGCCGGAAAGAUCUUAGCAACUCUACUACGGUGGAAGACCAAUCGACUUAAUAUUGGGUAAUCAGAUCUUAGUGAUUCCAACUUUGAGCUUUCCAUUGGAGGUAAUCGAUCAAUUGGCCAGGUAAGCAGGUGGGAGGCUCCCCUUACUCAAAGAGUAAGUCCUAAUUAAGUAACCACCUUUGAGCUUGCCUAGACACCAAUUAGAUCAAUUAAUCAAAUAUGGCUAGCUCAAUGUAUCGUUCACUCUCGAUUGAUUUAGGAAGAUUUUAGGUCUCUUGGGAUUUACAUCUAAUGUAACCAUCUACCCCAUACCAUAUGUCAUUCGAUUUACAUCUUAUGUAAAUGUCACAUUGGUUCAGGUUUACAUCCUAUGUAAAUAUGAAAUCCUUUCAUAUAUUAUGUGAUUACAUCUUAUGUAAAUGACAUAAUUGUUUCAGUUUACAUCUUAUGUAAAUGUCCUAUUGUUUAAGGGUUUUAUUUACAUCUCAUGCAAAUAAAUUUUUGUUUAACUAAUAUAUACAUCUCAUGCAUACAUUAUUUUAAACAUAACCUUAUGAUUAUUUUAAAUAAGUAUGAACAUU
rnacentral:lncRNA from 1 species